rnacentral:rRNA from 1 species
GACGAACGCUGGCGGCGUGCCUAACACAUGCAAGUCGAACGAGGUCCAUGUAGUGGCAACACUACGGAAGGCCUAGUGGCGAACGGGUGAGUAAACACGUGAGGAAACUUGCCCCGGAGACCGGGAUAACUCUUCGAAAGAGGAGCUAAUACCGGAUGUUCUCACUGAGUCGCAUGGCUUGGUGAGGAAAUGGAUUCCGCUCCGGGAGAGCCUCGCGGCCUAUCAGCUAGUUGGAGGGGUAACGGCCCACCAAGGCAUCGACGGGUAGCUGGUCUGAGAGGACGAUCAGCCACACUGGGACUGAGACACGGCCCAGACUCCUACGGGAGGCAGCAGUGGGGAAUCUUGCGCAAUGGGCGAAAGCCUGACGCAGCAACGCCGCGUGCGGGAUGACGGCCUCGG